rnacentral:rRNA from 1 species
GGAGUUAGCCGGUGCUUCUUCUGUGAGUGAUGUCCUUCCUGCCGGUUAUUGACCCGCAGGCCUUCUUCCUCACUGAAAGUGCUUUACAACCCGAAGGCCUUCUUCACACACGCGGCAUGGCUGGAUCAGGGUUGCCCCCAUUGUCCAAUAUUCCCCACUGCUGCCUCCCGUAGGAGUCUGGGCCGUGUCUCAGUCCCAGUGUGGCUGAUCAUCCUCUCAGACCAGAUACGGAUCGUCGCCUUGGUGAGCCGUUACCUCACCAACCAGCUAAUCCGACAUAGGCUCAUCCGAUAGCGCGAGGCCCGAAGGUCCCCCGCUUUCCCCCGUAGGGCGUAUGCGGUAUUAGCCUGGGUUUCCCCCAGGUUAUCCCCCACUACCGGGCAGAUUCCUAUGCAUUACUCACCCGUCCGCCGCUCGCCACCAGGGAGCAAGCUCCCCGUGCUGCCGCUCGACUUGCAUGUGUUAGGCCUGCCGCCAGCGUUCAAUCUGAGCCAGGAUCAAACUCUGA